rnacentral:rRNA from 1 species
UGCCAGCCGCCGCGGUAAAACGUAGGGGGCGAGCGUUAUCCGGAUUUAUUGGGCGUAAAGAGCACGUAGGCGGCGCCGUAAGUUGGACGUGAAAGCUCUCGGCUUAACUGAGAGAGGUCGUUCAAAACUGCGGUGCUUGAGGUUGGAAGAGGAGAGUGGAAUUCCAGGUGUAGUGGUGGAAUGCGUAGAUAUCUGGAGGAACACCAGUGGCGAAAGCGACUCUCUGGUCCACACCUGACGCUGAGGUGCGAAAGCGUGGGGAGCGAACGGGAUUAGAUA